CCCCUUUUAGGGUUGCACCUGUAGAGUUUCAAGUACUCUACCAGCCUCAACUAUGGAAGGGAGAGUCAAGCAGGGGCAUACCCAUUCCAUUCCUAGCUUGAGCAGUGGUUAGCAAGUGGAAGGCAAUCUGCUACAAGU